UCACUCUGUGUUGCUGCACCAUUUCUUUUCACAUCUAUAUUAUUUACUUGACACUACAUUACUUUCCAUUUUUGCGCUCUGGAAGCACCUUGUAGGUCACGUUGUAGGUUAUGUUGUCACAGUACUUUUUUUUUGGUUAACGCUAAAAGCAAACGAAAAUGUGUUUUGGGCAUGUUGGAUGUAAUCCAAUGGUACAAACAGAUGGCGAGAAAGACGGAUGGACAGACAGUGCUGGGGUAUUUGAGGUUCUGAGCGAUUACAGAAAAAAGCUUCGAAAGAAUUCCAAGUUUUGUUUACCACACACACACACACACACACACACUUGAUUGCACCACAGGCAAAUCACACUUACUUUAAAUGAAUGCAUACAUCCAUAUGUGCAUGCAUGCAUGUUAUGUGUCGGAAGGAUGGGAUACAGUAAAGGCUGAGUGGCUCACGCAUGCGAAUAGGCUCUAAAUAUGGGUUGGGGGAGGGAGGUGAGGUAGGAAGGUGUCGGGGGAGGAGGGGGGGUGCGCACGCGGACAGAAGCAAAAUAAAAGGCACUCCCUCCCUCCUUGCCUCGCUUUUCGAUCCGAUCACAUUUUCUAACCGGAUUCCUCUUAAACGAGUCGACACGUCGGCGGACACGAUUGAGCGCCUCCCCAACCGAACCGACAGCUACGGUAGAUUCACUCGCUGCCUCCCUUCCCCCUCGACAAAUAAAUAAGCCAUUUUCAACAAAUUCUCUUCUGCUCUCGUCGGAACAAGUUGGCGACGACCCCGAUCGAGAGUGCCUUGUUGUUGGCUGUGAGUCUGCACACGUCAUGGAAGAAGCGGAAAGAGUGUGGAGGAGUUAUUUUAUGUUUUGUUUUGUUUUUUUUUUUAUAUGACAGUCAGUGUGUGAUCAGCGCUUGGCACUGGUGUGGCCACUUUGAGGUGGAGUUUGCAGUGACUUAACUCCUACACUGGAAAGUUCCAAUGUCUAUUUUUCCAACACUUUUUCAGCAUACGUACACAUUUUUCGUCCAUUUACGACUUUGUACAUGACUGUUUUUUUUUUUGUUUGUGUACCGUUGACACUCAAGUUUUAUGGCUUAUAAUACUUUGACAUUUUUUGGUCCUGGAAAGGGUACAAUUUUCGCUCAAAUGAAUAUAAAUGUAUUAUUUGUCUCGGUUCCAAUGUUUUUCCAUUUUCUACCCUUGACACUUGACAUUUACAGCUUAAGAAAACACAUGUACCGUUUUUGGUUCUGGUAAGACGACAGUAAGUCUAAUAAUUAUUUAGCUUGACUCGAAUACUGCAGGGUUACAAUAUUGCUACUGUUUUGUCGUCUUUACAAUUCACUUUUACAGCAUACCGGUAUAUAUUUGGUCCCGUAAAAAGGCACAAUAAAUCCAAUGAAGGAGCUCAAGCAACAUAAAUGGAUUGCUAGCGAGAGAGUUCCAAUGCAAUCCUCCACUUCCCCAAACAAUCCCGGCCUCCCCACUCCCGUUUAGAUCCAUGACACUCGAGCUUUACAGCACCUGGAUCAUUUUUGGUUCAGGAAAAAGCCAAAUGACCUGAACUCUUGUACAGCUGGGAUCCAGUGAUUUGCAGCACGCAUGCACAUUUUGCACAUUUGCAGAAUUCCAUUUUUUUGGUUUUUAUACCUUUGACACUUAAUGUUCAGAAUGCACCGGUGCCUUUUUGGGUAUGAUAAAUACAAUAAUGAUGUUUGAGUGCCAUACUUUCUUUUUGGCAGGAUUUCAUUGUUUUUGGCCAUUUCUAUACCCUUGACACUUGACUUUUAAAGCAUAACGGUGCCUUUUUGGGCCAAGUAAAACGUUCAAUAAUACAAUAAUAUGUCCUCUGGGCUGCAUUUCCAACAGUGUUUUAUGUAAUUGUACAGACUAAUUAGCUUCAUUUCGUUUUCUUACGACAUUGUUUGCCUUGCACUUUACCAGUGGAUGAAAAUGUGUGUGAAGCUGCUGCUGCUGCUGCUGCUGCUGCUGGUGGGGGUGCACCGGGAUAACAAACAAGUCCUAGACUACCACUCCCUGGGAAUCUCUUCCCCACCAUGAUGAGGAUAUAACAGGAUUCUGUGUCUGAAAAGGACCUCAAGACAUGACUUUGAUAAGAGGCCCGCGACGAGAGGGGAAAAUACCGGACGACUUACCGCGAUGGAGUUGAACCUCGCAGCCGUUUCAAGCUCACUGGUGCGGGAGUCCAGCCAGCCGGGGGCACCGCUUCUCAAUACUCCGAUCCAACGAGUCCUCUUCCCGAUCGCUCUCUCUUUCGAUCUAUCGUUUGAAGUUCGUUUUAAAAACAAUUCGCAGCUCUGUUCACCAGCGCCUCCACCACUUCCACCUCCCCGGAACCGCCAGCCCUGCUCGGCCAGCUCGGCUGGCUUGUAGCCGCUAAACGGAGCCGAGUGCACGGAGCUUCUCGCUUGGCGCAGCCGCCUCCGGCCAGCGUGCGGAACAACAGCUCAGGCGGCAGACAGCGGAAUCCGAAUGGAAAAGUCUGCAGGCUGCUGGACGAUUCCUGGCUUUUCUCCAAAUGUUUAAAAAGAAGCGGAGGUGAAGAAGGGACGUCUACAUCCUUCUCUCGCGCGCGCCGCCGGAGCAUGUGAUGGCAACAUGGUGAGCCUUUUAAAGGGGUAUCCACGCGUGACGGUGUACCGUUGGGCAAGCGCACGUCGCGCACGCACGCGUAGGACACGUAUGCACGACCCGCCCUGAUAACUUUGCAGGAGGGGUCCACUGUGACGUCACCGGACACGAGCACCUGUAUACUCUACUUAAUCCACCUGAGUGCCUGUUGCAUUACUUACUCACCUUUUAUUCGUAACAAAAUUAGGGUAAAAUAAAGUGUAUAUGUCUCAUCAAUCAUCUUUUCCCAUUGAAAUAAAUGGAGAUGCUAUUAAUCCAUUCCAGUCCCAGUAAAAGAGAGGCAGGCAGAUGCACUGUUCAUUGAGAUGUCGCAACUCUUUUAAGCUCAUCAGUACGGCACAAAUACUUGCUGUUCUUCACAGAUGAUAAAGAACACAUCACUUUGAGUGCUAUAUUUUCUCUCUACAUGUGUUGUUGCACCAUUUGUGUUCAACCUGUUGUAAUAGGUGACAUAGAUGGGAAUUAGCCUCCAGUGUAAGAUAUUGGACUGGAGUGCUCAUUUUCCCUCCUGUUUUAAAUACACUAUGUCUUUUUUUUUAUGUUCAGUGUAACAGCAAACUUCAACUGGGAGAGGGAAUAAACAGCUUGAAGCUUC